rnacentral:piRNA from 1 species
UAUCUGAACUCCUCUCUUCCUUUAAGGGC